AUUUUCUCCUAACAUGUGAUGGGCAAACUCAGGGAGGUCAUACACGUAUCCCCAUAAUGUGAGGUUAUGGAUGCACAUGUGCCUACUUAGUUUGCACAUGUUCCCCCCAGAAGGUUAAGGAGCCUGUAUCUGAAGUGGAUUAACAGUACUGUUUGUUGAAAUGGUGACUAUAUUGCUGUUUAUUUUUUGUAUAUGAUGUAUGUGUGUGUUGAUAUGGUUUAAUGUGUAGAAUAUGUGUGUGUUCAAUGUGUCCCCUCCCUAAUGUUGUAAAAUUUAAAUUCCUGUACACGCCCCUGUAUCUGUGACACUAUCUUUUCCAGAGCUGAAGAGCUCUGUGUAAGAUUGAAAGUUUGUCUCUUUCACCAGCAGAAGUUGGUCCAGUAAAAGUAUUACCUAACCCUCCUCGUAUAAGGGUAUGUCUACACUUAAAAGGCUACAGUGGUGCAGUAGACAGGAGGGCCUCUCCCGUCGACAGGGUAAUCGACCUCCCCGAGAGGCAGUAGCGAGAACCAUAACAACACACACCCCAUACAGAAGACACUUGAGAAAAGAAAUUUUCAGAGUGUUCUGAAGAUCCCCAAAUCUGGGCUUUGGUUGAUCCAGAAACUUCCGUAUCCUGUUCCUGUGUCCCUACAAAGGUUUGUACAAUGCAGUACAAGAAAUGCUACAUGGGCUGUACUCCACCUUUCUCCUUCCUGCAGGGAUAUCCUUUCCAUGAAGAAAUGUGAAAAAUAUAAUGUUCAUGUUAAAAUGUUCUAUUAUUCUUUAUCUCAGUCAUUUUCUGUAAUCUGCAAUAGAUGAAACUGACUGCAUUUGCAAUGACUCAUUGAUCUGAUAACUAAGGCACCAAUUCUACAUUUUUGUAACAUACUACUUUCUCAGCCAAAUAUAAAUAUAAAACCUAUUAAAAAGUUGCUUGUUUACCACAGUCUUAUCAAGAGUUCAUGUCUAAGCCAAACAAGACAAGGGUGGGUUGGGUUUUUCUCUUCAUUGUUUUAACUGAAUUAACAGGAAGGGGGGGAGUCCUUUACCUGUC